rnacentral:rRNA from 1 species
ACUGCUCAGUAACACGUAGUCAACAUGCCCAGGGGACGUGGAUAACCUCGGGAAACUGAGGAUAAACCGCGAUAGGUCAUAAUAUCUGGAAUGAUUUCUGGCUAAAAUCUAUAUGGCCCCUGGAUUGGACUGCGGCCGAUCAGGCUGUUGGUGAGGUAAUGGCCCACCAAACCUAAAACCGGUACGGGCUCUGAGAGGAGAAGCCCGGAGAUGGGCACUGAGACAAGGGCCCAGGCCCUAUGGGGCGCAGCAGGCGCGAAAACUCUGCAAUAAGCGAAAGCUUGACAGGGUUAUUCUGAGUGAUUUCCGCUAAGGAAAUCUUUUGGCACCUCUAAAAAUGGUGCAGAAUAAGGGGUGGGCAAGCCUGGUGUCAGCCGCCGCGGUAAUACCAGCACCCCGAGUGGUCGGGACGAUUAUUGGGCCUAAAGCAUCCGUAGCCGGUUCUACAAGUCUUCCGUUAAAUCCACCUGCUUAACAGAUGGGCUGCGGAGGAUACUAUGGAGCUAGGAGGCGGGAGAGGCAAGCGGUACUUAGUGGGUAGAGGUAAAAUCCGUUGAUCCAUUGAAGACCACCAGUGGCGAAGGCGGCUUGCCAGAACGCACUCGACGGUGAGGGAUGAAAGCUGGGGGAGCAAACCGGAUUAGAUACCCGGGUAGUCCCAGCUGUAAACGAUGCAGACUCGGUGAUGAAUAGGCUUCGUGCCUCUUCAGUGCCGCAGGGAAGCCGUUAAGUCUGCCGCCUGGGGAGUACGGUCGCAAGACUGAAACUUAAAGGAAUUGGCGGGGGAGCA